GCCUAGUGGUUAGAGUGUUGGACUAGUAACCAGCAGGUAGCCUAGUGGUUAGAGGGUUGGACUAGUAACCAGCAGGUAGCCUAGUGGUUAGAGGGUUGGACUAGUAACCAGCAGGUAGCCUAGUGGUUAGAGCGUUGGCCCACUAACCAGCAGGUAGCCUAGUGGUUAGAGCGUUGGCCCACUAACCAGCAGGUAGCCUAGUGGUUAGAGGGUUGGACUAGUAACCAGCAGGUAGCCUAGUGGUUAGAGGGUUGGACUAGUAACCAGCAGGUAGCCUAGUGGUUAGAGGGUUGGACUAGUA
ensembl:lncRNA